AACGCUAGCUACAGGCUUAACACAUGCAAGUCGAGGGGCAGCAUGAACUUAGCUUGCUAAGUUUGAUGGCGACCGGCGCACGGGUGCGUAACGCGUAUCCAAUCUGCCCGUCACUCGGGGAUAGGCUUUCGAAAGAAAGAUUAAUACCCGAUGGUUUUGUUUUCCCGCAUGGGAUGAUAAAUAAAGAAUUUCGGUGACGGAUGAGGAUGCGUUCCAUUAGGCAGUUGGCGGGGUAACGGCCCACCAAACCUACGAUGGAUAGGGGUUCUGAGAGGAAGGUCCCCCACAUUGGAACUGAGACACGGUCCAAACUCCUACGGGAGGCAGCAGUGAGGAAUAUUGGUCAAUGGACGCGAGUCUGAACCAGCCAAGUAGCGUGCAGGAUGACGGCCCUCCGGGUUGUAAACUGCUUUUAUUGGGGAAUAAAGUGAGGCACGUGUGCCUUUUUGUAUGUACCCAUAUGAAUAAGCAUCGGCUAAUUCCGUGCCAGCAGCCGCGGUAAUACGGAAGAUGCGAGCGUUAUCCGGAUUUAUUGGGUUUAAAGGGAGCGUAGGCCGGAGAUUAAGCGUGUUGUGAAAUGUAGAUGCUCAACAUCUGAACUGCAGCGCGAACUGGUUUCCUUGAGUACGCACAAAGUGGGCGGAAUUCGUGGUGUAGCGGUGAAAUGCUUAGAUAUCACGAAGAACUCCGAUUG
rnacentral:rRNA from 1 species